rnacentral:miRNA from 1 species
ACUGCAAUGGCGGCACUUGUGGC